UUUUCAUUUGGCUAACUCGCAUUUUAAUAUUUAUAUUCAUUUAAUAUUCAUAAAACCUCGACCAAAACGGUAAAAUAAAGGAAAUAAUAGAGUGAUAUUGGAUUGAAAAUGAAUUUUUAAAAUGAUAUAUUUCUAUCAACAUGCGAAUUUUCUUAAAGCUCUCUUAGCAUUCAAGUUAAUCGAGUUUCAAUAAGAACUGGUAUGAAAUAGUCAUUAGACUGGCUGCUUUACAAAUGCACUUAUAGACUCAAUAUCCUAAAUAUAUCUUAUCGAACUUA